rnacentral:lncRNA from 1 species
UUUUUCCAGUGAGGAAGUGGUGACCCAGAAAGGUUAAAUGAAAUAUCUGAAGUCUCAUAUUUGGCUAAUGGAGGGGAGGGAUCAGAUUCUAACUCUUAGACAAUAAUUUCUAUUAUUACUUUCUUAGAAUUCCAGCUGUCACCAGUUUUUAAUUUUUCAGAGAGGUUUAGGGUCAUGCUACAUAGGGUCCUGGGGCCUUUUAGUGGCUGAUCUGAGACUGAGACCUGGUCCUAUUGACCCUCGUUGUACAUUGUACUGUUCUUCCCCAUUGCACAAUGGCAUUAAGAAAAUAUUGUCUUCCGAAUCUAACCGUUGAAAGUUCUGAAGCAUUAUUUUCUACCAUUCACAUCACCCAGUGGUGUUUUAAGCCUGUUUGCCAUGGCAACCAUCAACAUAUUUAGUUCCUCGGUGCAGGGUUGGAACAGCAACUGCAGCUUUGCUAUUGUUCCUGGCAAUGAAGAGGAACGUGCAGAGCCAAAGACCAGUUACCACUAAUCCUCUGCUCACAGUGAUGGAGACCGCUCAGAUGCUGGACCAAAAUCCAGCCUUCUUGCUGUAUGUUAAGCAUUCAGACAAUAAAAGCAGGGUAACAAUGGUAGAUUAGAGUCACCUUGAGCACCUUCCUGUUGCUCAUUGUGUUCUCUGUCUUCUCUGCUUUUUCUUCUUUUUCUUUCUUCUCUGAAUGACAAUAGACCUCAAAGCUACUUUACCAAUUUCAACAAAGCAGACAAAUGCGCACCAUCACAUUCCAAAUCUCCAAGAGACUAAAGGCUGGACUUCUGGAGAAACAUAAAUACAUCUAAAUAGUUUGUUUAUUUUCCCCAUCAUCUUUUAUAUGAUUUGCCUUCUUUUAAUAUCUUUAGCAACAAACCUUAUAUGUGAUGGAGAGGGGUGUCAAGAAUGUUUGGUAUUUCUGCUAAAGAUACGUAGUGCUUGAGAAAGGGUUUGGUGUUGGCUGACCCCUAAGGAGACAAAUUUAUCAGGGGAAGCAAGAGGAGGCCGCCUGACGGUAGCAGGCAGCUAGAAGGCCUGAGGGCUAAAGCCAUUUCUUGCCAUAGUCAUGUGACACUUCAAAAAUAAUUUCCCAGUUUGACAUUACUGAUAAGGCAGCACAUUGUAUUAGAAGGCCCUUCACAAAAAUCCUGGGGAGGGAGGGACUCUACUGUGUUUAUAUCAUGGAUUAUAAAUGAAUACACUAAUUAGCAUUAAGUGGACAAGUUGUGUGUGUGAGGGGGAGGGCAGCUAUCUGGGCCAUGGCUUUGUUCUCCAGCCCAGAUGUUGUGCCAGCUGCAGGGUGAUGAGGGAGCCUGUGGACCUCACCUUCUCUACUUAUCUGGUUCAUAGCUGGAGGCUUCUCUCUUUGGCUGCCCAUCUGGCUCCUGGCAUCAGGAAGUAAAAUUAUUUUUUUUCCAAAUGGAAGGCUUUGAAUCACAGCUGUUAAUUACCAGAUGAUUAUUAAAAACAUAUAUUGCCUACUGAGGUUUGAGGAGACAGCUCAUUCGUGCUGUCUGGUCCACCCUAGUGGCUCCCAGCAUCAACCCAUAUAUGCUUCGUCUAAAAACACACCAUGGCUUUACAGCACAUGCAGGGAACAUGCAAUGGGGAAGGAUAGUGAAGAGACUAUAGGAUACCACUUAAAGUCAUCAAGACAGUCCCUGAGUGUUGACUGCCUUAGCCCAGUGCUGGGAUCAGAUUACAAUUUGGGAGACUUUCAAACACCUGCAGCCCCUCUAAUGGGGCUGACUAGACCUGUUCACCAAUAAUGACC